CUCUGGGGUGCGAGUGAUCUUCCUGCCUCAGCCUCCCAAGUUACUGGGACUACAGGCAUAUGCCACUACAUCUGGCAGGUGUAUGCAACUUUGAAGCUGUCUUAAGUUUCAGUUAAGAGAUAUCUCAAAGCAUAGGCCACUGAGGAGGGACUGAUACAGAGGGGCUGACAUACAGGCAGGGCUUGAGUUUCUGAGGAUGUAGAAGGUGAAGGGUCAGGUUUUGAGGAAUCCUAUAGGAUAAUGGAAACAUGGACAACUGGCAGGGAGAGGGGGUGCCUUGGGGGUCAACCCAAGUGGCUGCUUUCAUCCAGUGACUAUAAGGUUUUAUUUAAAGCCAAUUCUUAUUUCCUUUUCCAAAGUUGGACAAAUAGCAAUUGUGGGCAUUAAAACCAUUCCAGAGCAAGCAAGACAGCACCACUGGCCCAGAAUACCAAUGGGUAUAGCUACUAAAGGCAUCAGUCACCCUUGACUUUGUUCUUGGCCACCUGAAAAACAUUUAUGCACCUUCAAAAAGUCAUAAUGGAAGGCCAUUUACUGUUACUUUGAAUGAUUCUCCUAAAAGGACCUAAUGAGAUUCAGCACCCAGAAAAAUUUGUUUUCAGAUCUGGAUUUUCGUUUUAAUCAACUAAUGAAAGUUUCAUUUUUCUUUCUGAUUUGGCUUCCAGGAAGCUGAGCACUUAAUCCUCAAUUCCUUUCUCUGCCUUUGCGAUAUUUACUUUCUGAUCUCGUAGGACAACUAUUCUGCUAUGUAUAUAUUUACUGAAAUUUUUUAAGAUGGCAGUAUAUAAUUUAUAAAUACCAGACACUAAGAAGUACUGAAGAAAUAAAAACUCAAACUAAACAGGAUUAUAGGAAAUUCCCAAUAAGCAGAAGCACAGUGAAGAGACACCGUUGACUUGCUUCCUUCUCAGAGGGGAUUGGAGGGCUUCAUGUGCCCAGGUGGGGUGCUGUGCUUGUUUCAGCCAGGUUUUCCACCUACUUACAAAGCCCUGAGUCUGAAGCUCAUGUAGCCAGAGCUCGGCCAAGUGAGGGUCCCCCUGACAGGCAUGUGGGGGCUUCAUCUCUCGUGAAUCCCAUCACUCUCCAGCCAGGGCUGUGCAAUGCUCUUGUCCCUGGAAGGGUGAGGAUGCAGGGGGAGAAGAGGCGUCUUCAGGGAUGUGGUGAGGUCCAGGGGAACAGAAAGGUUGGCAAAGGGACCAAGGACCAUUCAGGCCCUUUUUCCAUCCCAUGCUGGGAAAUGCACAGAGAGCAGGCUCUCUGCCUGGCCAAGAGUAACCCAGUCUCUUGGGGCAGGGCUGGCAUUAUGGCAGGCAGGCCAGCGUGGGCUUUUCAGGAGCAGAUGGACGAAGCCCCUGUGGGCUGGGCCUGGAGGUCUUCACUCCUUACCACCUCCCUUUAGGGCCAGCGUGUCUCCCUCCCACCCUUGGUCCAAACACCACAGGAGAUGUCAGAGUGAGAGGCCCCCUAGUGGGAAAGGCUGUGGCUCCCCACUAAGGACCCGCAGCCUUCCAGCUACACUGACCCAGCAGGGGCUACAGUGGGCCCAGGAGCCCUCUGCCUGACCCUGUGGCUUGGAUGGGUGCUUGCAGACGUCUGAGGCCAGUUGAUGCUGGUCAUGUGACACUAACUUUUUAAAGCUUACUGAGAGCCUGCUGUGAGCAGGUGCUGAGCUAGUCGCCUGGGUAAAGAGUAACUGGAUUCUCACACAUGUCUGCUUCCAGACCACCUUGGGAAGAAAGUGACUUCUUUGAGAUAACAAAAAUCCAAACUAGUAGAACCUAGAUUCUUUGGUAGCAAAGCAGGGAUUCCCUUCACAUAAAGUCCCAGGGCCCAGGGGCUCCAUCUCGCAGCAUGAAGCCAAGAACCAGGAGGAAAGUUCCUUAAAGUGAACGUAAUGUUUGACCUUCGGUUUGAAUGGGAAAGAGGUUGGGAGCAGAAAAGAGACAACUAACCCAAAGGUCUGAAACCCAUUUAGGAAAAGGUUCUUCUACAUUUUGGGGGAUAAGUGAGGAAGAAAAAGAAAAAAAAAUUAACGAAUUUAAAGAAAAAUAUUGACAUGUAGCUCACAUGACAAAAAUGAUGUGGAUGAAAAUGUACCAAAAUGCUCUGUGAUGGUGGCUGUAUCAUGAGUGAUUUUUAAAAAUAUUGUGCAACUUCCAAAACUUUUUUUGGGUGAUUUAGUUUUACUACUUUCUAAUAAAAUUAUAAUUAAAAGUAUGAAAACAUCAAAAGAAGGAUAAAUAGAAGCUAACAAAAAAAUAACUACUAACACGAGGGAAAAUUCAGUGGAGAUUAAAGUAGGUUUUUGGUCUCGUGUUUGAAGAACAGGCCAACCUGACGAAGCUGGCGGGUCGCAGGACAGACAGGAUUUGGUCUCUGCUUUGUGAGAUCUAGAGCCUGGACUUCUAACUGCUGCCUCCCAGCAGGCAUUGGCCAUGCCUUCCUGUUUUCCUGGCCCAGGAGGGUGUCCCUCCAAAGCCACACCCCACUUCCCUGUGCCAUGGCUCUCAUGAGCCACGCCACAGAACAAUCGGAACCAGCUGUGAACUUGGGGCACAGGGACCCUCUGGUUCAUCUUUGUCCCCCUGCAGUACUGUACUUGGCUGAAAGGAGCUGUUCAAAGACUUUGCUGACCCGAGCAGCUCCUGGAAGUUCUGGACUGGCCAUUUUUGGUGUGGUUUACUCACAGGCACAGAGCAGUUGGCUUGCAGUCUUGUGUUCCCGGGGAGGGGCCCUGCCUGCUGGGCACCACUUGCUACAUGUAGAAGCAGCAGCACUUUCUUCAGAUCUCCUAUCAAACCUCCCUUAGGAAACGGAACCCUGAACACACCAGACUAAAUAAGCUAAGUGAGAAAGGAAGGCCAAGAGGGAAAGCUGUUCCAAACUGAGGGUAGAAAACAUUGCUGAAAACUCCUCAUUUCCUUCCUCCACCUCAAAGAUCUGCCUGUAAUCAUAGUUUGCUUCUUCUUUCCUACAAGAAAAUUACUCUUCCUCUCAGGGCUGAAAAGGCAAUGAUGUCACUUAUACCUGCCGCAGGAAUAUCAAACCCAGACAAUGCUCUGAGAAAUGAUUUUCUAGGGUGACUUUCAAGCACUCUGGGUAGCCGGCACAGAUAAAAUGGCCCUGUGCAGGCAAUGCAGUUGGCUGAAAUAGCGAUUUCCUUCAAAGUCUCGGCCUAGGGGCAAGCCCACUGUUGGCACAUAAGUAUCACUUCCCCAGGUCCGGGGACCCUCUGCGCUAGCCCGGUGCCCCAUAGGUUGCUGUUCGGAGGUGUCUUCCUGCCCCCACAUGUGGAUCUCCUGCCCCUCAGGUCACUGCACCCCUGCCCAGAAAAUACCAGAGCCCAGGCAGGGGUAAUAAGGCAAGCUACUGCUUACUGAGUAGCUGCUGUGUAUCAGACAUCAGGUGCUAAUGGGAUAAAAUCAGUUUGAGGGAGGUUUGUUCACUCUCCAGAUACCUCGUGAGACUUGUAUUCUUGAUGGUCUUACUGAGCCUGUUAUUAAUUAAAACUACAAAUAUUUCAAAAAGUGGCCGUGUCUUAGGUGGCGGUAAUCAAACCCGAAGCAGCAGCUGGGCUAUCCUGCCCCGGAGUAUGCUGUGCCUGGCAAAUGUCUAGGAGGGCGCUACUGGCCAGUUUCUGGAGCUGGUCAGAGAGACAGAACUUCAGCCUCAGCCCACAUCUGCUGGACCAGACCCUCUGGAGGUGGAGGCCAAAAGUCUGUCUGACAAGCCUUCCAGGCUUUUAUGCCUUCUAAAGUUGGAGAUGAUGCCAGCACUGGAAAUGCCAGGUCUCUACUGGGUCCAUGAGUCGGCUGUGCCUCCAUCCACUCCAGUCCUACCACUUACCAUCUGUAGUACUGGAAAGUAGGCAGUUUCCUGACCUAAGUAUCAGUGUGUACAUCUGCAAAAUGGAGAUAAGAAUGGUCUCCGGCUGGUAGAAAUGCUGAGGGUUAAGUAAGAUAUUAGAUCACACUUAGCCCAAAGUGUGGAACCUAUUAAGCGUGCAAUUAACAUUAGUUAUCACAUUAUUAUCUCUAGGGUAAAGGCCUUCCUGCAUGAGCUCAUUCCCAGGCAAGACCAGUUGGGGAUAGUCUGUCACCACUUCUGGCAGCAAGAAGCAGAGGUGUCAUGCCAGGAGCGGGGACCGUGGCAGUGUGUGUCUCUGGCCUUCCCAGGGACACUGGCUGAGCCCUCCCCUGGGAGAAGGGGGGCUCUCUCACAGCUACAUGGCUGGCCUGGGGACGGAGGACUCCAUCAGCACAGCCACCAUUUUUUGUGUGUGGAAGGGAAGCUGGCCCACAGGCCUCAGGCUUGGCAUGAGGGGCAGGGACAGGGCCCAGGAUGGCUACCUCAUAGCUUGCGUUACUCUCUGUCCCUGCUUUCAGUGGCUGGAGGUUCUUGCUCACAGCCAGCCAGCAGACACCAUGGCCCCAGGAGCCCUCCUCCCAGACACCUCCUUACACAGCUUCCUCCUGUGUCCUAUUGUGGGGUCCUCCUCACUCUGCACACACCCAGGACCGCCUCUGAACCACCCCCUCUGCUGAGGCUCUCCGCUGCUCCCUCAGCCUCCUGCACACACCCCCACCAGCCCAAGGUCGCCAUCCUCACCACCUUUCCUCCCUUUCCUUCUUUUAUUCAUUCCACAAACACUGGGUGUCUAACGCGUGCCAGACACUGUUAGAGGCGCUAGGGUGACAGCAGUGGGCAAACAAGACCAAGUCCCUGCCCUCAAGCUGCUUGUCCCUGGUGGGGAGGUGGCCAAGCCUGUGAUGUGGGCAGCUGCCAUGCACUGGCAGCUGACAGUGCUACGGGGAGGAACACAGCGAGGUGAGCGGGACGGGCUGGGGCAUCUGUGCCUGAGAACGAGAGAGGGGCAACUGCCUUUCACAGCGGGAAGACCGACCAUUCUUCCCACAGACCUCAGUGAGCCUCCGGGGAGGAGAGACCUGCGGGGGCGAGGCAGCCAGUGUGUGUUUAUCUGGGGAGGGGAUCAGGCGGUGGGCGCAGGGGAGGCGAGCAUGGGAGGUAACCUGCGUUCUGAAGGACCCCAAGUGACACAGGGUCACGGGGAGAUGAAAGGAGAGGCAGGAAGUCAGGGGGAGGCGAAGGCAGGAGGCCCUGGGAGGGACUGGGCUUUACUCUGUGGAUGCGCAGCCGCUGGAGGGGUCUGAGCAGGAGUCACAUGAUCUGAUUUGCAUUGUGAAAGGAUCCCUCGGCCUUCCAGUGGAGAAGUGGCUGUGGGAGCCCAGGGCAGAAACAAGAGGAAAUGCCAGUGGCAUUUAGAGAGGGAGGCAGCAGAAGUGGAGGAAGUGGCCGGGUUCUGCAAGCGUCCUGAGGUAGAGCAAGUGGUUUCCUGAGAAAGGACUCAGGGAUGACUCCGCUGGUUUGGGCUUUGGAACUGGAGCAUGGUUUGCCUGUUCCUGAGUUAGUUUCUUACCAGACGUCUCUGGCCCAGGGAAUAUGUAGCUCGGAACCCUGACGGCUGCCCCGGCCCCAUCCUGCCCAGGCCAUUGUGCCUUCUGCUCCCUGGGGCUCCCCAGUCUCCCCGGAACAACAUCUGCCCCAGCUCUGCUCAGGCAUAGGUUCUUCUGAGCAGCCUCUCGUGGCAUCUUCCUACCCUGGCCAUGCGAACCCAUCUACCCUCUGUGUGGUAACAGCUGCCAUUCCCGGGUCAUGGGUGCUGACCCAGGGCACGCCAGAGGCAUUCUUCCCACAGGCCUCAGUGACCCUGCUAGGGAAGAAUUACCAUCCUGCGCUUUCAGAUUUGGAAAUGAAGGUUCCCACCACAGUGGAACAUGCCCCUAGCCACUCCACAGGAGUACAGGAGUUGAGACUCUGAAGCCCAUGCCACGUGCUGCCCUAGAUGAGUUUUGAAGCCACAGCACUGGAAUGCUUUGCUAGCUUUCUUGGUUUGCAUGUCUGCUAUCUCCAUUGCUCUGAAAGGUGAAGCCUGGCAUAAGGGGCUGCCCAAUAACCCAGACAUUAGAGUCUAAAGAGGGUUCGGGGACCCAUGAGAGAUCCCAGACGGCCCUCACUCCUCUAUCCCCAGCUCACACUCAUUCAUUUUUUGAUAAUAUAAUAACUGAGACAGAUAAGAUACAAGUAAACAUAUAUACAAGAUAGUUGUUAUGGGUUGAACUGUGUCCCCUCAAAAUUCAUAUGUUGAAGUCCCAUCUCCUAGUAACGUCAGAAUAUGACCUUAUUUGGAAAUAAUGAGUUGUUGGAGAUGGAAUGAACUUAAUUUGGAUGAGGUCAUGCUGGAGAAAGGUGAGCUCCUAAUCCAAUAGAACUGGUGUCCUUACAUAAAGGGAGAAUUUGGAGAUGACACACACAGGGAGAAUGCCGUGUGAACGUGAAAACAGAGACCAAGCUGGUGCUUCCACACACCAGCGAAGGCCAAGAAGGCCAGUGCAACAGCAGGCGGGGGAGAGGCAUGGAACAGAUUCUUUCUCACAGCCUUUGGAGGAACCAACCCUGCUGAUGCCUUGAUUUUGGACUUCUAGCCUCCAGAACUCUGAAACAAUACAUUUAUGUUGUUUAAGCCACCCAGUUUGUGGUACUAUGUUAAAACCAAGAGAGUAACUUAGAAAAGUGAUUAAGUGUGUGAGAAGAAAAACCAAACAGAGUGCUGAGGGUUGGGGAAAGGGAACUACUCUAGGUGAGGGAGGCAGAGAAGACCCCUCUGAAACUUGGACAAUGGGAAGGAAAUCAUGGAGGAGAUCAUUCCAGGGAGAGAGAACAGCAGGUUUAAAGGUCCUGAGGCAGAAAUGAGUUUGCUGCAUCUGAGGAGAGUGAGCAAGAAGGAAGGGAAAUGAGAGAUAAAUAAAGCCAGAGAGGUAAGCGGCGACCAGCUGUUGGAAAGCCAUAGGCCUUGGUGAAGAUCUGAAGGGAUUGCAAGGGCCAUGGGAAGCCCUUGGAAACUCUGAAUCUUGAAAGAGACAUGAUCUGAUGCAUCUUUUAUGAUGACGCACAUAAGCACAUGCACACAAAUGGUCUAGAUCUGGAGUGUGCAGGGUGAAGACAAAACAAGGCCCAUCUCAGGGUCAGCUCCAGUUUUUCCAUCCACUGUCACUUUCGGCACCUCCUAGUGCAGAAAAUCAUGUGCUCCACCCCACAAAGAGCAGGCUUUUCUCUGCUUCCCUGAAAAACAAGUUUCUGCCUUGUGCAGUCUUGCUGGGAAUGUAAAAUGACACAGCUGCUAUGGAAAACAGUGUCGUGGUUCCUUUCCUCAAAAAAUUACACACAAUUACUGUAUAAUCCAGCAAUUCCACUUCUGGGUAUACACACAAAAGAACUGAAAGCAGAGUCUUGAAGAGGUAUUUAUACACCCACAUUCAUAGCAGUGUUAUUCACAAUAGCCAAAAGAUGGAGGCAACUCAGGUGUCCAUCCUGAAUGGACAUGCAAAAUCUAUCAUAUUCCUGCAGUGGAAUAUUAUUCAGCUUUAAAGGGAAGGGAGUUCUGAUACAUUCUACAACAUGGAUGAACCUUGAGGACAUUAUGCCAAGUGAAAUAAGCCAAUAACAGAAAGACAAAUACUAUACGAUCCCACUUAUAUGAGGUACUUACGGCAGUCAGACUCACAGAAACAGAUAGCAGAAUGGAGGUUGCCAGGGCCUCGGGGAGGAGGGAUGGGAAGUGGUCAGCAGGUACAGACUUUCAGUUUGGCAGGAUGAAAAAGUUAUAGAGAUGGAUGGUGGUGAUGGUCGCGCAAGAAUGUGAAUGUAUAAAGCCACUGAACUGUAUGCUUAAAAUGGCCAAAAUGGUAAAUUUUAUGUGUAUUUUACCACAAUUAACAAUUAAAAAAUAAUUCUCUAGAGCCCACAUCAGUCCCUCAUCACAUCCUCAGUGGCAUCUGUCUCUCUGUCCUCACAAAACCAGUGUCCCCAGUAUUCCAGAAAUGAUGGCCCAGUCAAUCUCCUUGUUGCAUGAAGAAGAUAAGCAAUAGCAGCUGGUGUGGAUGAGAUCUGAAAAGCUCUCUGGUGACGACAAUCCCAGGCCUCUGCCUGGCAACUCAUUUCAACUGGACCCAAGGGAUAGUGGUGAGCAUCUUCUACAGAAGAACUUUUCCAUAGACUUGGAGACCAUUGUUAAAUUAUCUUGCCACUCUGAAGACACGGAACUACCUGCUCUCACCAUUUUCCAGCCCAAAAGUACAGCCACAAUCCCACUGUAGAAUUGAGCUUUGGGUCCUCGGACUGUGCUUCUGUCUGUGUAUUUUAGGGGGCCCCAAGUCACUUCUUAAGGAGAACUCUGGCCCUGCUCACAGCACUCCUGUAGCAGGCCUCCAAAAGAGGCAGGUGGCCUUCCAUUCAGGCCUGUGUUCCUACCAGGCUGCUUGGAGCUCCCUGAGAAAGGAAUAGUGCACAACCCUGCAUGGCCGAGUUGCAGGACACAUGAGCCUAUCCUUUACCCAUCACAUAGAGAACAGGCUCCAGGAACCUGGCUGGGAAUAAAAAAGGCAAACUCACGGACACUAGCUACUGAAAGCCUGGCUGAGAGAAACAAAUGGUGGGAGAGUAUCUGAAGGUGCAUUCUUCCCUCUGAGAUUAAGCAAAGCCACCAGGAGGUGUGAGUGGGGGCUACUCUGCUUGCCCAGCCUCCCCCUGUACAGCAGCUUUUCUGAACUACAUCUGGCUGGGCAUACCUGGCCUCACUGCAGGCAUCAGGUAAGAAAGCCUUGUGAGUCCCCUGCUGUGUUAUUUGAGAGGUAUGGCUGAGCACAGGCUGUUGCCACCACUGAGCAUGUGAGAUGCUGGGGGAUCUCUGCUUCCAGGAUUCUGAACUGGGACUACUUGUGCAUCUAAAGCAUGGUUGAUUUUUCCUUCGUGAACUCUGAAUCAUAUCAUUGAUGAUUUUCCAUUUUGCUUUUGCUGCUACAAGAACUCAAAGUCAACUUUGGGGCUUAUUUCUGGAACAGUGCUGGCUGAUAGAACUUUCUGCGAUAAGGAAAAUUUUGCAACAGUGCUAUCCAGUACAGUAGCCACUAGCCACAUGUGUCUAGUGCCAAUGAGGAAUGAAAUUUAAAUUUAAAUUUUAAUGGUGACAUUAACUAUGUAGUAGUGGCUAUCAUUGAACAGUAUGGCUCUAGAAAGUAUAUAGGAAAUGACAUGCAUUUUGAAUGUCACACUCGGUUUAUCUAAUUUUUCUAUCAGUAUUUGCCUUCUACUUGAAAUCCCUUUGUAUCUAAUUGUUAUCACUAAUCUUCUUUCAUGGUAUAUAUAUAUCUUUGCCAGCCAUCUUAAACAUAGUUUUUAAAAUGUGAGAUCCACUUAUAAAUAUUAAAAAAAGGAUAACAGAGCCAUAUGCCCAAUUUUUUGGACUAGAAAUUUCUUCUCCCUCCCCCUUUCAUGUAAUAUAGAGUAGUUAAGAUGUUCAUUUAAGUGGAGGGAGUCCCAGGGUGGCGGAGGAAAAUCUUUUCUUUGGUUUCUGUCUCUGUUCUUUUUUUUCAUCUGUGCUGCUUAUACAAACGUUAAAUUUGUGAAAAUUUACUGAGCUGUAUAUUUACAAUGCGAACUUUUUGGUAUAUACAUAAUUAAUAAUAUUCUUCAAUGGAAAGUAAACAAAAACAUAUAAGGAGAA